rnacentral:sRNA from 1 species
GGCUGCUCUGAUGAUAGUUGUUUCACUAAAGCUGGUAUACAACACCCCACUCCUAAAUUUGACUGGCUUUUU